GUGACCAGAUGGGUAUAAAUGGGCUGUGGAAAAAGAGAAUUCAUGGCCAAAAAUGGUGGUGCUCUCUGUCCAAAAAUUAAGGCCCUAUGACCGUGAAUGAAGCUGGAGGACAGGUAGGAACAGAUCAUUUGUUCCAGGAGAAGCCAGAUGCCAUGUCUUGAGGACAGUCAACCCUCUGGGAAGGUUCCUAUGGUAAGGAACCAAGGCUCCUGGAAAUAGCUUCUGAGUGAGCCACCUUGAGAAUGGAUUGUCCAGCCCCAGUCAAACUUUCAGAGACGACUGUAGCCCCUGCCAAUGUCUUCACCACAACCUCAUGAGAUCCCAAGCUACAACCACUCAGUUAAGUUAUUCCAAAAUUCCUGACUCACAGAAAUUGAGAUACAGGAGAGGUCACAGUUAAGAUCUUGAUGUUCUAUCUUCACCCAUAAUAUAGGAGCUUCACCUUUUGAGAAGCACCAGUGAGAGCUAGCUGCCUGUGCCUGGUGGAAGCUGCCCAUGCCCCACUGAUACCCCACAGUACUUCCUGUUCUGCUCAGUACUCCUGCUUCUUUCUGCAAACAACUGUGAUUCUCCACCUGGGAGCUUCCUCUGGCCACAAGAGCCUGCUCACCUGAAUGGGACACCCCAGCAGUGCUGAUGAGUUACAGCUUCCAGGAGCAGCUCUCCUCCAGCAAAGGAAAAGGUUGGCAGAAAAGUACUUCAGCUGCCUUUGCUAGUGUGUGGGACAAUGUUAAGACAUGCUCCACACAGUAAUGCAGGGGUCCCAGCAAGAUGGAGCCCAAAUUGUCCACAAUAGUAACUUGCCAGUAGAUGCCUUCAUUGACUUUCUUCCCUGCUGUGCCUUUCUUCCCACUCUCCUGCCAGUGCUUCCUGGAAUCAUCUCCCUCAUCAAUCAUUUGUUCCAAAAUUCUGUCUGAGUCUGUUUCUGAGGAAACCCAACCUGAGUCAUCAUCCCUCUUCCCCCCCUCACACUUUCUUCACUGGGGGAGGAUGGAUUGAAUUGACUGGCAAAUUUUGGAGGAGUUUGCAUUGGAGUGCGUGACUCAGCUGAGGUUGGGCUGUGUUUUUUCAGAGAGAAGUACAUUCAGAUUCAAUGUGUAUCCUGUCUUCAGGAAGCCCCAUGCUCUGUUCAUCUUAGCAUGAUUACUAAGCUACACACUGCCCUUUCAAGGGGAAGGCCUGAGAUUUGCAGUUGGCAAGCUCAGUGGGAGUUGGAUGUUUUAUGUAACCUGAUUGUGGAUAUAGAUCAAUCCAUGCUUUUCAAUUCAGUCCUCUCUCUAAUAAACUGCUCUUAUGAGCCC